CGGAACAGAAAGACAAAAAUCAUAGAUGCUUUUUUAAAUUGAUAUGUUUUUCAAUUGUGAGGAUUCAUUUCUAUUAUUUGUUGAAGAAAUGACAGAGUUGGCUAAAGCUCGAAGCAGUUUACUAGCCGUAGUAAAUUGAAUUAGUCAAUUAAAUGCAAAGAGGAAAUAUUUAAUUAGCGAAGUUGGAGUGAAUUUGUUUUGCCAGUUUUGUGUCAUCAGGGACGUUAAGUGCUCUUUUAGCUCCUUAGUCGGCGGUUCUUGCUCUUAUGACCCCAGAGAUAGGAGCAGAUCAACUGAGGUUAUUCAAUUUCUGAACUGCAAAAGAGACAUCGCGGGUCAUAAGUCUUCCUUGUCAAUAACUGACGUAGAAACCGAAAUCGAACUUAUUUUGAGAAGAGUAUCUACAUCCUUUUGUUCGGAGUUAGACCUUUCGGAAUUAACGAUUUGUCCCCAGCACCGCUCAUCCCUUGGUAUUGGGUGGCGUCGAGGAUCGAAUCUGUGCUGAGUUCCUCCGCCAAUCUCGAAGCACGGCGGACAAGCCCAAAAAACGCAAAGGCAGAAAGAGGACUUGGCAAAAGUGCUUGUUAUUUGAUAUGGAAGAAACUGGGAAUUUUUAUUCCAGUUGGUUCAGGUAUUUGUCUCAACUGCCGGGUUAAUCUUGACAUGCAGAAAAUAGGGGAGCUGCCCACAAAGCUUCCGGAGACCAAGAACCUUUCUUACGAGGAAACUGAGACCAUUGAGACUUCUGUAAGUUCUGAACUGGCACUCAAUAGAAAUAGUGUUAUUAACAGUGGCACCAAACAAGGCCCGCGGGCAAAAAAAGAUUAAAAAAAAAAAAAAAA